rnacentral:rRNA from 1 species
UUAAGCAAAAAAGAGCGCAGGGUGGAUGCCUUGGCACUAAGAGCCGAAGAAAGACGUGAUAAGCUGCGAAAAGCUGCGGGGAGAUGCAAAUAAUCCUUGAUCCGCAGAUGUCUGAAUGGGGAAACCCGGUACGAAGAACUCGUAUCAUCCAUACGCCAAUCCAUAACGUAUGGAGGGGAACCCGGUGAACUGAAACAUCUAAGUAGCCGGAGGAAGAGAAAGAAACAUCGAUUUUGUUAGUAGCGGCGAGCGAAAGCGAAAGAGGCCAAACCGGAGUGCGUGCACUCCGGGGUUCGGACCGCAUUUAAGAUUCAGUGAUUCUAGCAGAAAGGCUUGGGAAAGCCUGCCGGAGAGGGUGAAAGCCCCGUAAGCGAAAGGAGAGCUGACUGAGCGGGAUCCAGAGUACAUCGAGACACGAGAAACCUUGAUGGAAAGAGCGGGGACCACCCCGUAAGCCUAAAUACUACUUAGUGACCGAUAGCGCAUAGUACUGUGAAGGAAAGGUGAAAAGGACCCCGGGAGGGGAGUGAAAGAGAACCUGAAACCCUGUGUUUACAAGCUGUGGAAGUUCUUUAAAUGAACAACCGCGUACUUUUUGUAGAACGGUCCGGCGAGUUGCGGAUACUGGCAAGGUUAAGCACUUAAGGUGCGGAGCCGAAGGGAUACCAAGUCUUAACAGGGCGUAAAGUCAGUAUACGCAGACCCGAAACCGGGUGAUCUAUCCAUGUCCAGGUUGAAGUUGUCGUAAAAGACAAUGGAGGACCGAAGCCACAUCCGUUGAAAAGGGUGGGCAUGAGGUGUGGAUAGGGGAGAAAUUCCAAUCGAACCCGGAGAUAGCUGGUUCUCCUCGAAAUAGCUUUAGGGCUAGCCUCGAUUUAGUCUUAUGGAGGUAGAGCACUGAAUUUCCGCGGGGGCGUCAAAGCUUACCAAAGAAUAUCAAACUCCGAAUGCCAUGUAGAUGAUGAUCGGGAGUCAGACUGCACGAGAUAAGUUGGGCAGUCAAAAGGGAAAGAGCCCAGACCGCCAGCUAAGGUCCCAAAGUGUGUGUUAAGUGGAAAAGGAUGUGGGAUUUCGAAGACAACUAGGAUGUUGGCUCAGAAGCAGCCAUACAUUCAAAGAGUGCGUAACAGCUCACUAGUCGAGAGUUCCUGCGCCGAAAAUGUCCGGGGCUGAAACACGACACCGAAGCCGUGGACUCGCAAUGCGAGUGGUAGAGGAGCAUUCUUAAAACCGACGAAGCUGUACCGGAAGGAGCAGUGGAGGGAUAAGAAGAGAGAAUGCCGGAAUGAGUAGCGAGAGGAAGGUGAGAAUCCUUCCGGCCGAAUAUCUAAGGUUUCCAGAGUAAAGCUGAUCUGCUCUGGGUAAGUCGGGGCCUAAGCACAGGUCGCAAGACGUAAGCGAUGGAUAACAGGUUUAGAUUCCUGUACCACGCAUUAUCAGAACUGUAGGGACGCAUGUGGAAAGCACGAGCCGGGAAUGGAAAGACCGGUACAAGCGGGGUAGGAGUACAAUAGGCAAAUCCGUUGUAUGAUCCGAAGACGUGAUGUGGAGCGAAAUAAAGUAGUGAAGCGUGUGAGCCAUGUGCCGAGAAAAGCUGCUAUUGUGUAAUGCGUGCCCGUACCGUAAACCGACACAGGUGGAUGAGGAGAGAAUCCUAAGGCCGACGGAAGAAGCAUUGUUAAGGAAUUCGGCAAAAUGACCCCGUAACUUCGGGAGAAGGGGUGCCUGCGAGAGCAGGCCGCAGAGAAUAGGCUCAAGCAACUGUUUAGCAAAAACACAGGUCUAUGCGAAACCGAAAGGUGAAGUAUAUGGGCUGACGCCUGCCCGGUGCUGGAAGGUUAAGAGGAGAGGUUAGCGCAAGCGAAGCUUUGAAUUUAAGCCCCAGUAAACGGCGGCCGUAACUAUAACGGUCCUAAGGUAGCGAAAUUCCUUGUCGGGUAAGUUCCGACCCGCACGAAAGGCGUAAUGAUUUGGGCACUGUCUCAACAAUGCACCCGGUGAAAUUGAAAUACCAGUGAAGAUGCUGGUUACCCGCGCCAGGACGGAAAGACCCCAUGGAGCUUUACUCCAGUUUGAUACUGGGAUUCGGUACUGCAUGUACAGGAUAGGUGGGAGACGAAGAAGGAUGGACGCCAGUCUGUCCGGAGUCGCUGUUGGGAUACCACCCCUGUAGUACUGGGUUUCUAACCAGUUACCAUGAUCUGGUAAUGGGACAAUGUCAGGCGGGGAGUUUGACUGGGGCGGUCGCCUCCGAAAGGGUAUCGGAGGCGCUCAAAGGU